rnacentral:misc_RNA from 1 species
AACGCACAUUGCGCCCCUUGGUAUUCCGAGGGGCAUGCCUGUUCGAGCGUCAUUACAACCCUCAAGCUUAGCUUGGUAUUGGACUCCGUCACUAAUCUGGCGAGUCUUAAAAUCAGUGGCGGUGUCGUUGAGGCCCUGAGCGUAGUAAAAAUCCUCGCUUUAGGGACCCGGCGGUUACUGGCCAUUAACCCCCGAUUUUCUAAGUUUGACCUCGGAUCAGGUAGGGAUACCCGCUGAACUUAA